GCCGCGGGGUCACCGCGCUCCCGCCGGCCGCUCGGUGCGCGGCAGGGCGCUGGGGGUGUGUCCCCUCUGUCCGGGGUUAGCUGGUGCAGAUCCAUCGAGGUAAAAUUCUGACAAAGGUGAUAUAUGACCCGUAAUGCUGAGAACCUCUGCUCUAUGUCAGAUCUAAAAGAUGUUGACUUUUGCAGCUGUCUCCAGCUUGGACCACCAGCAUCAGUUCCUGCAGAAUCUGAACAUUUCCCUCCAAAUACCAAAUGGCCAGUGCCACCUUGAAUACAAUCACCACUGCACCAGCAAGAGGAAUAAAACUAAAGACACUCUUGUGGUUUAUGAAGACUUUAUCACAUACGUCCAUGAUCACUUCUGCACAUGGAAGUCCAUUUCAUAAGAAACAGCAGUGCCACAUGCGUAGAAUGAAAUGGAGACUGAAGCAGGAAAUGCCCCAUAGAAACUGCAGCUGAGCUGCCAGGAGGUCUUGCACAGCUCAUCUUGGGACAGCCUUGUCAGACAGAGCUUCUGGGGCAGUCAUGAGGAUCCACAGGAGGCUGAGCACCCCCAGCUUGGUGCAGCCCACAGGUGCAUGCCCUGCAGCAGGGAGGCAGGAGGCAGAGAGGACCCCUGCUCCCCAGUUGCUCCUUGCCGGUGUGGAGGAGCUGCCUGGCCCAUGGGUGUUGCAUGGCAUGUUGGAGGCCCCCUUAUGUGGAUGGACAUGGCUCUUAUGACCUGUCCUGCUGCUAUGAAGUCCUGGAGGUGGGGCUGCAUGUUUUCGAACACCAGUGAUGACAGAUUGUUCCAGGCCCCAAAGCUCUGGAAGAACACUUGCUUUUCUAAUCAAUAGUUCAACCGUUACAGUGGACGUCCGUGGGAUUUCCUAAUUUCUUUAAAGCUUCAGCUCCCAACAUCAUACCUGUUUUUCCAAAGCAUAUUGCUACUAAAACAUUUUAUAGCAUGCACUGUCAAAUGCAUAU